rnacentral:rRNA from 1 species
AUACGAAGGGGGCAAGCGUUGUUCGGAAUAACUGGGCGUAAAGCGCACGUAGGCGGAAUGUUAAGUUAGAGGUGAAAUCCCAGGGCUCAACCCUGGAACGGCCUUUAAUACUGGCAAUCUAGAGACCGAGAGAGGUGAGUGGAAUUCCGAGUGUAGAGGUGAAAUUCGUAGAUAUUCGGAGGAACACCAGUGGCGAAGGCGGCUCACUGGCUCGGUACUGACGCUGAGGUGCGAAAGCGUGGGGAGCAAACAGCAUUAGAUACCCUAGUAGUCC